rnacentral:rRNA from 1 species
AUGCUUCUUCCAAUGCCAUAUAAAGAAACUGAUGACAUAGUAAUCGAUGGCCGGAUGAAUGAAUUUAUCAACUCACUGGUUAAUGAUGGGGACCAGCAGCUCAAGCUGCUAUCUGUUCUUGGAUCUGCUUGUCUUGGUAAAACUACACUUGCUAGAGUGAUGUACAGCAGAUUUAGGAAACAAUACAGUUGCCGAGCUUUCAUUCGGGUGUCCAAGAAACCUGAUAUGAAGAGAAUUUUCCGUGACAUGCUCUCACAACUCCAGCGGCAGCAACCCCCACAACAUUAUAUGGAAACUGAUCUGAUUCACCAUAUCAAGCAAUAUCUACAGGAUAAAAGGUAUUUAAUUAUUCUUGAUGAUGUAUGGGCUGCAUCAGUAUGGGAUAUUAUUAAUCAUGUUGGGAUUGCCAAAGGGUAA